rnacentral:RNase_P_RNA from 1 species
CAGAGCAGGAUAGUGGUCGCCCCGGACCAUCUAUAAAUAGAAGGUGCGGGGAGGAAAGUCCGAGCUCUACAGGGUAAGGCGCUCCAUAAUACGGAGUCCCGAUAUAUCGGGAAGGAAAGUGCCACAGAAAGGGAAACCGUCCCGCACUUUUUAGAAAGUGCGGGGUAAGGGUGAAAAGGUGAGGUAAGAGCUCACCAGUUGAGAUGGUGACAUCUUAAGCUUGGAAAACCCCGCUUUGAGCAAGGUCGAAUAGGUUCCGCCUUGAGAAGGGCCCCUUCGAAUCCCCGCUCCGGCUUUGUCGGGAUCGGGGAGGCGGAAUGGGUAGCGACCGCAAGAGUCCGGCGGCAACACCGGACCUUAGAUGAAUGACCACAUAAAUGGGGCGCUAUCUGAUAGUGCUCCAUAAACAGAACUCGGCUUAUAGCCUGCUCUGACAC